AAGAAUGAAGAAAAGCCAGAAAAGGGAAAGAGCAGAUAGGACUCGGAAACUGCACAACGACAGAAAGAUGAAAGGAUGUUAUUAAGGCACCUGACCACGAACAGGCGCGGUCAUAAUGGUUCUUGAUAUUCACCCCCUCGGCAGUAGGGGCGAUAACUACCGAGAAGGUGAAGGGGCAAUUGAUGACCGCUGGAUUUCUCCAUCCUGGCCCAGGGCCUGGAUCAUAGCCAAAAGCCCAUCUUGCAAAGGCCCACACACCUGCUACACGAAACAAGCCUGGUUCGU
rnacentral:lncRNA from 1 species